AUAUCUGACAUGCUCGAUAAUAAUCCACAAUUUCCAUGACAUGUAUAACUUGAGAAAAUGAACAAGAUGAUCAAAUUUCCAUGACAAUACACCUUUUAUUUAUUACAUCUACGAUUACAACUAACAACAUCAAAAUAAUCCAAACAUCCUCUAAAAUAACUAGUUCAUCGCAUACAAAGAGCAUUAACUACAACUACAAAAGUUUGAUGUCUUCUGGAGUUGAGAUGCGAUUUCCAUGUGUGAAAACUUAGUUUCUUGAAGAAGGUUGCUAGGAAUGUCGAUCUUGAUGGUUGGACACUUAUUAGCUAGUAAUUUUUCCAUCGAAGAAAGAUUACUAAUUAACAAGGAAAUUUAUUAUUUAACGUGCAUAGGAAAUUUAUUAUUGCAGAAAAAGAGGGGUUGGAAAGCAACAACGGCACUUUUUAGUGUGAUAGAGGUUGAUUAUAUAGAUCAAUCAGACAGGUGGUGGUGGGGAUGGGCAAAAUAUUGCGCGAGGUAAUACUGUGCAAAGAAGUGGAUUACGCGGAGGUGGAGGUGGGGCUGGUGGGGUUGGGCAAAGUAAUGGGAGAGGUAAUAUCGUGCAAAUAAGUGAACGCGGAGGGGGAGGUGGCGACGUUGGUGGAGGAGGAAGGGUUGGGGGUGGGGGAGGUGAAGGCGGGGGAGGGGAAGGUGGUGGAGGUGAUGGUGGAGGUGGAGGUGGUGAUGGUGGUGGCGGAGACCUAGGUGGUGGUGGAGGAGAUGGGCAAAAUAUUGGUAUGCCAAAUAUGGGAAGUCGUAUGCAUGGCAGAAGUUGAGCAUUGAUAGUUGUAACCAACAUAGGCAAGAGCGCUAUUAGAACCCAUACUUUGAGUUCCAUAUUGAUUACAGCUAACAAGAAAACUAAAGAUCCACGAUGUGUUUGUUGUAAAAAAGAGAUGAGUUUUUUUCAUAUAUAUAGGCAUCAAUUUGUG
rnacentral:lncRNA from 1 species